ACUCCUACGGGAGGCAGCAGUAAGGAAUAUUGGACAAUGGGCGGAAGCCUGAUCCAGCCAUGCCGCGUGAAGGAUGAAGGCGCUCUGCGUUGUAAACUUCUUUUGGACGGGAACAAUAACUUCGAUGCGUCGGAGCUUGAGGGUACCGUCAGAAUAAGCACCGGCUAACUCCGUGCCAGCAGCCGCGGUAAU
rnacentral:rRNA from 1 species